CCUGACCUCAAAUGAUCUGCCCGCUUUGGCCUCCCAAAGUGCUGGGAUUACAGGUGUGAGCCACCGCACCUGGCCGGAUCUCCAUCUUUUGAAGAACAUGACUUUCUCCUCUAGGCAGGUGGGAGGCUGAGGGACACCCCAGUGUUAAGCCAAAAAUAGCCAAGGCAGUAUUCAUGCCUUCUCUUUCCAGAGGCCCCUUGUGUUCCAGGGCUGGGGAACCUCUAGCUCGAGGCCGCGGCAAUCCCCUCUGCCAUUCAGGCCCGGCCCCUCUACACUGGGCCCUGAGCACGUACCUGGCUCCCCCAGUGUACCACGGGCUUUGCUGUCACCGGAUGGAUUGAGCAACUCAACCGAGUGUGCAUUUUCCAGUUCAUGCUAACCACCAUUCAGUCACUUCCCCUCACGUUCAUGGACCGGUUGGUUCCUUGUCAUUUCUCAGGGGACACCAUGACCCUUCUUGUGAACUCUCCAUGAUGCAGGCAGGAACCUGAGUCACCCAGAGAUAGCAGCCCUAUUCCCCCUUGUCCCCUAAGCCCCUGGCCUGGCUCUCAGAUGGAAACAAAUAACAAUAAUGACUUCAGCCACCGAUUCCCACAGCGUCCUGAGAGCUUUCCAGGUACCGGUACUGACUUUCAGGGCCAAGCACAGCCCACGGAGCACCUUCCUGGAACACAGGUGCGCACUCACACCUACACGCCCUCUCCCGCUCAGCCUGAAUGGGAAAAGGAGCAGGCCUGGGGCCUGCCUCUGUUUGGGAAGGAUGAACCAAGAACUCCAGUGGAAACCUGGCGCUGAGCUAGGCUGUGGAGAAAACAGAAGCAGGUGACGGGACGCGACAGGUUGAGAAGCUGCUCGGAGGAGGAGGCAGCUGAGCUGUGAACUGGAGCAGGUGGAGGGGCCUCCCCGGGAAGAUCUGGGUGUGGGAAGCACCUGCCAGGCAGGGGGCACCUCAAAUGCAAAGGCCCUGAUGUGGGGACAGGUGAGACAAGACCAGGACAAGCCCCACUCGUGCUGUUGUCUGGAAACCAAGGCCCGAAGAGGAGGGGACGGAGCCAAGGCCAUGCGGCUGGCAGAGGUGGAGCUGGGAUGUUAGGGGAGGCUUCAUACCCCACCCCUCACGCCCAGCUGGAACCUUCCAGAAGGGUGGCCUCCUCUUCCUGAGCUGCCCCAGCUGUUGCGGGGGCUGCUGCUGUCCUGGUUCCCUUGUUUAAUUACAAACAUUUUUUGCCCUUACUUAAUUAUGCAACCGCCGUCCGUGGAUCUGCCACCAUCUGGCCCCACUUUCUGGCUUGAGAGGAUGAGUCCCAGUGACUUCGAGGGCUGAGAGGGGAGCAUGGGGGAGGCACCCCAGCCAGGAGGGCACCGAGCUUGGCAUGGCCUCAGCUCUGUGAUGUACCUGGCCACGCCUCCGAGUCCUCACCUGCAGAGUUGAGACCAUUGAGGGCUGGUGUGAGGGUCUGUGAGACCAGAGCUGCUUGGCAAAGAGGAGCCCUCAGCCCCAAAGGAUGCCAUCCCUGGGAGGCAGUUAAUCCCUUCUGUGUCUUAAAAGUAGAGAGGGUGCCAUUCCACCUUCAGGUGACCUGUGCGGGCCACAGAGUUCCCAUUCUGCAGAUGGGAAGAGUGAGGCUCCAACAGGCUCUAAGAGGCUCAGGAACUUGCCCAAGGCCCCGGCAUCUGAGUGUAGGAGUGGCUCGUGGCUCCAAAGUCCUCCCUUUCUACACCAGUGUCUUGCAAGCUGCCUUUUUUUCAGGCUGUCAGUUAUGAGGGAACAGCCCUCCCCUGGUUUAUCCCCCUGGGAACUUGGUGUGGGGCUCUGUGCGUCAGCUACAGACGUCCUGGCUGAAGCCAAAACCGGCCCUUCCAGCUGGGGAGGGGAGCAAAUGUGAACUAUUUUCAAUGCCCUAAUUAAUAAUAGUAAUAUUCACUGACAAUUAUCGAACACUCCGCACCAGGGACUUUCCAUCAGUUAUCUGAUUUUCAAAUGAUCACCAGCCUUCUGAGGGAGGCACCACUAUGCCCACCCACAGGUAAGGAGCCCAAGGCACUUAGAGAGUGGUGGCGGAGGCAGGAUUUGAACCCAGGUCCCGCAGACAGCAGAGAUUGCUCAGGCACUGCUAAGAGUCGACGUGGAACAAGGGGCUUUUCCUAGCUCUGUCCUCUUCUGGCCUUUUUUAAGAGGCGGCUCCAGCAGCUGGAUUCCACUUUUAGAUGCAGGGUGUCCUGGGGUUACAGCUCUGGGAAAAUCCCAACAGUAAGCGUCCCCGGCUGCCUCCUGCAGAUGCGUGGGGCAAGGACAUCCAUGCAGAGGCUGAGCUCGUCCAGGAAGGGGUGGGAGGUGCAGAUGUCAGGGCCCUCGACCCCCAGGAGCCAUGACGUGAAAAGAGAUGCCCACAGUCCUGACCCAGGCCCCCUAGCCAGCUAGAAGCUUCUGAGCCUCUUCCAGUCCUCGGCCUAUCAUCCCUAUCAACCCCACAAGCUGGGCCCGCGGCCACACCCCUCAACAUCUCACUCCAGCACCCUGCCUGACCUGGCCCCAGCCUCGCCUCCUCCUCAUCUCCCUGCGCUGCCCUCACCCCUAGGAUCCAUUCUCCACACGCGAUUAGAGCCUGCUAGGACCCAAGGCUGAUGGUGCCCCUCCCCUGGAGAAGCACUUUCAGGGGCUCCCCAUUGCUCUUGGACUAAGCCCGUGUCUUGCUGCAGCCUCCACGGCCUUGCAUGGUGUCUCUCGGGAAUCUCUGACCUUCACCCAUGCCGGCCUCCCCUCUGUGUCCAGAACCCCCGCAGCCAAUUUCCACCUCAGGACCUUUGCACUCUCUGUACCCUUUGCUUCAGCUUCUCUGCCACCAGAUCAUGCAGCGUGUCACUCUAGUCCACACUGCGGCCAGAGGGAGCUUCCUGGGCCCUGACUCUCAGCAGGUCCUCUGCUGCCUAAGUCCUCUCUCGGGCUGGACACCCCCAUCCCCAAAUCCAAAGUCCUGGAUGGGGCUGAGGCUGUCUGGGUCCCCUCCAGCCUCCUCUCCUGAGCUUCGUUUAGUGCCCCCAAAGGCCUGCCUCUGUGCCAGGGGUUCUCAGCCUCGGGCUGGGCCAUCCUCCAUAGCGGGCCUGUCCCCUGUCCUGUGCGCUGCAGGAUACUAAGCAGCCUCCGGGGCCUCAGUGCACUGGAGGCCAGUAGCACCCUCCCGAGUUGUGAAAGCGGACAUCUCCAGGCAGCACCAAAUAUUCCCAGGAGGAACAAAAUUGCCUCAGUCAGGACCCCCUUGGGCCAGCUUUUUUCCCUGCUGCUCUGUCUUUUGGGAACACCCCCCGCCAGCCCUCUGCACCCACCCUGCCCCCCCCGUAUUUCACAACCCUUAGAUGCCACCCACGAGGAACCUUCCCAGCCCAGGCAGACCAGGAGGCUUCUGGGUGCUCCCACAAUGGCUUGUGCUCGUCAUCGGAGACCUGAUGAUGCCAUCUUGUAAUUGUCAGGGGGCACGUUUGCCCCCUCCUACCCCACCGCUGGGAUGUCAGCUCUACAAGCGUGGACUCUGUGUCCACUCUGUCCCCCGCCGCGUGAUGCACACAAGGACUGGCACGAAGAGGACGCUCUGUUCACAUUUCACCAUCUCUCCACCCGUCUCUGCCUCUGUCCUCAUUCAUCAGAAACGCACACGUGCGGGCGCCACGAAUGCCGAAAAGAAUCAGACGUGGUUCCUGCCCUCAGCCCACGCACACUCUGGUGGGCAACACAGCACAGCAGGGGACCCUGGGGGCCCUGGCAGCUCCAGAGAGGCAUCCGAUCCAAACUAUGGGGAAGACGGGAGGGUCAAGAUGGGCUUCCUGGGGGAGGUGACUUCUGGAUACCUGGAAGGAUGAGAAGGAGGAUCAGCAAAAACAGUGCCAGGAUAUGAGCUGCCCAACGUGGUGAAUGUCCUAAAUCCCACUGAGUAAUUCCCUUUAAAAUGUUUAAUUGUGGCCGGGCGCAGCGGCUCACGCCUGUAAUCCCAGCACUUUGGGAGGCUGAGG